CCGGCUGGUUUCGGGGCUGCAGCCCCGGCCCCGCGUUGGGAUCGUGCCUUGCCGUGGGGUUUAAGCGCUGCCUGCUAUCCCUUUCCUGCUGCGGGAUUAGAUCAGCUCGGGCUGAUCCUCAUCAGCACCCUCUCCUGUGUUUUCCAGGAUGACCCAUCCUCCCCUGCAAAACCUAGCUGCAGCUAACCAGCUCCCACGGGAUUUGGAGCGAGA
rnacentral:lncRNA from 12 species